rnacentral:rRNA from 1 species
UACGGAGGGUGCAAGCGUUAAUCGGAAUUACUGGGCGUAAAGCGCGCGUAGGCGGUUUGUUAAGUUGGAUGUGAAAGCCCAGGGCUCAACCUUGGAACUGCAUUCAAAACUGGCAGGCUAGAGUACGGUAGAGGGGGGUAGAAUUCCACGUGUAGCGGUGAAAUGCGUAGAGAUGUGGAGGAAUACCAGUGGCGAAGGCGGCCCCCUGGAUCGAUACUGACGCUGAGGUGCGAAAGCGUGGGGAGCAAACAGG